GGCGGGCCUCCCCGCAUUGUGGGACGGUGAACCGGGUCAGGUCCGGAAGGAAGCAGCCACAGCCGUUAACCGCAAGUGCCGGGGGUAGGGCUCGCCAAA
rnacentral:SRP_RNA from 1 species